rnacentral:rRNA from 1 species
UAUGUGAUAUGCUCUCAAAGAGUCGAGUGUUGGAUGCAGCUCAAAUGGUGUAAAUCAUCCUAAGCUAAUACCAGCGAAGAGACGAUUACCGACCAAGUACGGGGAGGGAAGGAGGAAAACCACUUGGAAAGGAGAGUUAACCAGUAUGUGAAAUGGUGGAAAGGGAACCACUGGAGGUCAGCACCAUUCGCCAGGAUUCAGCCUGCCCUAUUAGGCCUGGUGUAUUUCCUGUAGGAUGGGUCAACAUCAAUCUUGGUCAAUGGAUAAAGGAUGAGGGAAUGUGGCACCUUUGCAGGUGUGUUUAUAGCCCUUUUUCAUAUACAUUGGCUGGGAUUGAGGACUGCAGCAUGCCCAUUUUGUGGCCAGGACAUUUCAUGUUACAUGCUUAGGAUGUUGACAAAAUGGCUUUAAGUGACCCGUCUUGAAACACGGACCAAGGAGUCUAACAUGCCUGCAAGUGUUUGGGUGGAAAACCCUUGCGCAUAAUGAAAGUGAAAGGUUAGGAACCUUCAUAAGGGGGUGCACUAACGCCCGGCCCUGAUGUUUACUGACGGUGCUGAGGUAGAGCAUGUAUGUUGGGACCCGAAAGAUGGUGAACUAUGCCUGAAUAGGGUGAAGCCAGAGGAAACUCUGGUGGAGGCUCGUAGCGAUUCUGACGUGCAAAUCGAUCGUCAAAUUUGGGUAUAGGGGCGAAAGAC